rnacentral:lncRNA from 1 species
CCCACACAUUAUUAUAUAUGUAAAAUGUAAAUAGAAGCUACAUCAUUAUUUCAUGAAAUAACAUCAUAGAGAAUGUGAUAGCAGAGUUCAUUCUCAGCAAUAUAUGUGAAACUAAUUAGGAAUCAAACUGUCUUCAAUAGUUAGAUGGAGGUGGAGGUAUGAAAGGAAUGGAAGGCAAGCUGCUGCUGGGAAGUGGUGGAAGAAUAGUGAUAAGCUUAGGCUAAGAUGGUGGGAUUGUUGGUAGCUUUGGGAUUCAAGGCAAUAUAGGAGGAAGUGGUGGAAUUGGUACGCUGGGAAGUGGUGGAAGAAUGGGGGUAGGGUUAGGAAGUGGUGGAAUUGGUACUGGUACUCUAGGAAGUGGUGGAAGACUGGGGGUAAGGUUAGGAAGUGGUGGAAUUGGUAAUCUGGGAAGUGGUGGAAUUGGGAAUCCAGGAAGUGGUGGAAGAAUGGGGGGAAGUGGUGGAAUUGGUGGAAUUGGUGGAAUUGGUGGAAUAGUUACUUGCUGAAGAUUUCGAGCUGCUAGGCUAACCUCCAUGCUUGAAAAACCCAACAAAAUGAAACAAGCUAAUAAAAUGAAAACGUUGGAACCUGCCAUUUUUUUUGGAGAGAUGAACUAAAGAUUGAAGAUUUGAGUUGAGGUUUGCAUUGAGGAAAGCAGGAUUGCUUUUCAGGUAUUUAUAGCCACAUUUGAAAGACUUAAUUAAUUAUUUGUUUGAGAUAUUAUUCCCCUACUUAGCAUACUACCUUUUCUCACCCAUCUGUCAUCACCAACAAAAAGAAGAAGAAGAUAAAUUAGACUCAUCCUUAAACUUAAAAAUAUUCUGAAUGAGUCGAUUUGUCUAAUGUUAGUUAAAAAUUAAAUGCUUUUAAAUUUUGUGUGAACUAUAUCUUUCUAUUUCCAUUUACCUAAUGCCAGUUAAAAAAUAAAUAUUUUUUUAUAUAAUGAGUGUAUAUUUGACUUACGUAUGUGGCGCUCUAUUAAAAAAAAAAUUAAAUUAGGUGGAUCAAAUUUAAAUAUUAGAUAACUAUACAUGUUGGUACUUAAACUUGGUAUUUAAGAUUUUUUGUUGUCCAAUUAAAGGUUGAAUUUAAAUUAGAUAGUUGAACUUGAUUUCUUAGUUCAAAUUCCAAGCUUAGAUACCAAAAUGUUUGGUAUAAUAUUAAAUUAAAAAAAUUCAAGAUGUAAAAUACUAAUUUAACAUUUAAACUAGUUGCCCCAUACAGCUACAAUGGUAAUGAUAGAAGAAAAGUAAUUGAAUGGGAUUAGGAGAUGAAGAUCCUAGUAAAGCCACCUCUAGAGGUAUGAGAGUUGCGACCACUCUAUAAUUGAAUGCUACAAAAAUGGUUAUAUCUAGGAAUCUUUCGCCAUUAGCUAAUAAUGGAAAUAGCUAUGUAUCACUUAAAAAACAACAAUUCAUAUUUUCUUGAAAUAUAUUCAAAAAAUUGAAAAAUAUAAAAAAUAUCAUUUUUCUAAAAAUCCAAAAAUUUUAUGUGAAUAUCAACAAAUUCAGAAACUAAAAGAUAUGGAAAGCUUUAAAGUUUUUCCAAAAAGAUAGAAAUUUGCAGAAAAUUAGGUAUUUAAGAUUCCAAUAUUUUUAUUUCCCUUCUUUCCUGAUUGGAGAAAAUAUGAAUUAGGUGACGCCAUCGUUAACAAUUGGGGCAAGGUAAGACACGGUUGGAAACUUCAAGUAGGUGUAAUUUUGGGGAAAUAUUACAUUGUUUAAUAAUGAAUAUUGACAUGAUUUACCCUGAGUUAAAUCAAUUAUAUUUUACUUAUAUUUUCUAUACAAAUUUUAUACAAGCCUAAAUUAAUCAUAUUCAAUCAUAUCAAUCUCAAUAUUUUGAAUAAGAUAAUAAUAUUUUCUUAAAACUAUAACUAUAUAAAGUAUUGUAAAAAUAAUUAUUCAAUUAUACAGCUAUUUUAUUUGUAUAAUUAUAAUUAACAUAACCUUCUCCAUCAUAUAAUUAAAAUUUGUUCAACUUAUAAUUACAACAACUUUCCGUGAAGAAAAGAGAGAGACACAAAUACAAACUAAUGAGAUUAAAUAAAUCUCAAAUAUAAAAUAUUCUUCAAUAAACAUCAUUAAUCAAUCUCAAAAGAAACAAGAAAAGAAAUUCAUAAAUUAAACAAUAAGAAUAUAAUAUAACAAUCCAUUAUUUAAUAAAUUCAAAAAAAAAAAUCACAUUUAUAUUUUAAAUUUUAUUGGUCUAAUUUUAGAUAGGUUUAUAAACUUCAAAUGAUUUAAAAUAUUAGUGUCACGCCCCUAAAUAUAGGAAGGUUCAUUGAAAUGAAUAAAUAAGAAAUGUGUUGACACCAUUUUUUUGAUGAAAACGGGGUUGACUUGGAUUUUGAAAAUGAAAAUUAAAAUGACAGUCGCCACCAAUCCUUUUUGAUAAGGUGUGAUCGGAUCACCUUGAAAAGUGGUUGUUUUUAAUAAACGAUUUAAUUUUAUUAAAACAACGAGUUUGGUCCACGAAAUUCAGAAAAAUGGGUUCGGGAGUCGGUUACGUACGAGGAAGGAUUAGCGCCCUCGUGACGCCCAAAAAUUGGUACCUAGUUGAUUAGUUAAUGUCUUAAUGUCAAAAAUUGUAAACUUUGAAGAAUUUUAAAAAUACGAUCCUUAAUUUUUUUAAAAAGAAAACUUAUAUAAAUCAAGUUACUCGUUAAGACCCUCCCAUUUCAGAAAGAGAAAACGUCACGCCCAAUGCGUUAGGGCACGAUAUUUUACCUCUUCAGAAAUGAGCUUGUCUAAAAACUUACACAAUAAAAUUUUAAAGGGCAUUCAAUUGUUUAAGUCAUGUGAAAAAUUGCAACCCAAUACAUUAGGGCACAAUUUCUCAAAAUAUUAAACAUUGAAUAUUGCAUUUAUUUUGAAAAAUCCUCAUAUCCAAUGCGUUACGGCACAACGUACUGAAUUCUCGAUAAUGAGCUAUUUAUUUAUGUUUUUGUUUUAAAGAGCACCCUCGAUUAUUUAGAUCCAACGAAGAAAAUUGGAACCAAUACGUUAGGGUUCAAUUCUCUCGAAGAUCCCAAAUACCGAGUAUUACUUUUAUUUUGAAAUUUUCCGUUUUUGAUAAAUCCGAGUAAAAAUGGAUGCAAAAUAAUGAUAAUGAUGAUAAUGUAAGUAAAAUAACACGAGCAAAACAAAAUAUAAAUAAAUAAUAAGACUAAUAUAAAUACAAUCGUGCAGGCGCAAUAACAAAUAAGAAACAGAUAAAAACUAAAGCAAGAAAAAUAAUAAUAACAUACAUGUAAAUAAAUAACUGAACAAAAUUAACAAAAUUAAAAAAAAUAUAAAAGAUAUAUUUAUACAUAUAUAUGUAUAAAAUUAUGAAAAUAUUAAAAACAUAUGCAUGUACACAUUUUUGAAGCUAUUAUACAUGAAAAUAUAUGUAAGUAUAUAUGCACAUACAUGAAUACGUAUAGAACCAUCAUCAAAUAUAUAAAAGUAUAUAUAUAUAUAUGUAGGUAUAUAUGAAUCACAAAAUUUAAAGAAUAAUAUAUAUAAGAUAUAUAUUUUGGAAGUAUAAAGAAUAUGUAAGAAUUUAUAUAUACAUACAUUUAUAUAUGAAAAUGAAAUAUAUAGAUAUGUAUGUGGGUAUGUAUAAAUAUUAUAAAAUAUAAAAACAUAUAUGUGUACGCAUAUAUAUAAAAAUAUACAUAUGUAUAUAUACAUAUAUAUUAUGAAAAUAAAGCUAAAAAAAAACUAGUUAGUGUAUUAACAUAAUUGUAACGACUAAAUAAAGGAAAAUAAUAAUAAUAAUAAUAAUAAUAAUAAUAAUAACAUUAAAAUAAUUAACUAAAUAAUAAAAAUUGCUAAAAAAAGAUUAAAUCGAAAUAAAAACGAAAAUACUGGGCAAAUUCGAAAUAAAAAAAACGAAAAGGAUUAAAUUGCUACACGCAUCGAAAGAGGGAGACCAAAACGAUAAAUAAACCAAAGCCCCAAAACGCAGCGCUGCAACGGACUAAAAUGAAACAAAAGGAAAACUAUGUGGCUAAAUUAAAAUAAAAGAAAAUAAUGAAAAAGGGCCAAAUUGCAACUCGUUGCAAAGUCGGAGUGACUACGCGCGCAAAUAUCCCCUUUUAAGAAAACACGCGGAUCCUCCCCCAGGGUCGGGUCACCGAGCGGGUCAGGGCCAAAAUGGCGUCGUUUUGGCACCUGACCCUAAUGACAAAACGGCGCCAUUUCGUUUAGGGUAUUUAAACCUAAUUUUUCCCAAAAAACCUAAUUUCAGCCACCAUUUAAAAAAAAUAAAAAACUUUCUUUUUCUUUCAAAAAUCUGACUUUUGGGGUAAAAUUUUUUACUUUCUCUUGAUAUUUUGCGCGAAUAUGAAUUGUUUUUUUUUAAAAAAAUAUGUAUAAAAAUAAAAAUGAACGGGUAUAAAAAAGAAAAGAGAUGCGAAACUAAAAUCACAUUGGAGUGAAUCUGUUUGUUUUUUUUAAAUCUGUUUUUGUAUUAUUUAAAAGUGUUCUUACAAAAAAUCUAAAAAGGAACCCCCUAAAUUACAGAAAAAUUUGGCUUUUAUAGCCGAUUCUCCCCCCUCAUUCUUUGCUCUGUUGCUUUUCUAUUGCUUGCAGGGACUUGACGCGGUGCAUGUGGGGUGUCGGUGGCAAGUGGGGUGAUGGAACAUCCGACGGUGGCCGUGGCUGCUGGUGAUGCGACUGGUGUGCGGCGGCCAAGAGCUAGGGUUUCAGAAAAGCUGAAACCCUAGUUUGACUGUUGGGGUUGGGAUUUUGGGCCAAUUGGGUUAUUGGGCCUCGAGUUUGGGUUUGUAAUUGGGUUAAUUUAUUUUUUUUGGGUUUUAUGUUUGGGUUUAUUGAAUAUUGGGCUGAGGGUUAGUGGGUUAGGCCUAGGUGGGUUGGUUUGGGUUUUGGGCCCCGGGCUAAAAUUGGGCUUGUACAAAAUGAAUUAGGUUUAAUGGCUAAGUGUUAAAGAAUUCACCUUAGAGACUUAAGUUCGAGUUCCCUUCCUUCCUUUUUAUUUUUGGUAACUUGGUUUUAGGGUAAAGUCACACUCAAAAUAUAUACGACUAGGAAUUAAGAAUAAAUAAGAAAUGGGCAAUAGGUCCAAUGGUUAAGUGUUAAUCCCCUAUCUUAGAGAUCUUAGGUGUAAGUUUCCUUUUUCCCCUCCCAUUUUUCUUUUGGAUUUCGACAAUAAGGGGAAAUUUGCUGUGCCACCCCUAGGGUUUUCAAACCCGAGCUAUUUAAUCAUUCUUUUCCCAUUUGGAUUAGUUUUGCUUCUUUUCAAAUUCUUGUAAAAUUUCUACUCAUAUUAUAUUUCUCUUAUAUUUAUUUUCUUUUCCUUUCUUUUCAUUGUAACACCCUAAACUCGGUCGAAUAGGUUCGACCUAAAUUUGGAGAGCUACAUUAGCCACCGAAGUGACUUUCCAUUAACUCCCAAUCUAACCUCUAACACACCACUUACUUGCAACGUAUAUUAUGAUAAGUUAUAUCAUAACAAGGGUAUAAUAUAAUACAUAUAAUGUAAAUCAUGCAAGCUUAAAACCAAUGUAACACCCCAAACCCGGCUGAGUAGGUUCGACCCAAAUUUGGCGAGUUACAUUAGCCACCGAAGUGACUCUCCAUCAAUUCCCAACCUAACCUCCAACACACCACUUACUUGCAAUGUAUGUUAUGAUAAGUUAUAGCAUAACAGUGAAAUAAUAUCACAUAUAGAAUGUAAAUCAUGCAACCUUAUCAAACAAAAUGAGGGAACGGUUCGCAUGUUAAUUACUACGUAAGGCUACGUAGUAAGGUUAUCGCACCUAAGGGUUCACAAGCAUAUAGGGGGUCACAAACAAACAAAGGUCGCAGAAAAUAACACUUCGCAAAAAAAAUUGGCUCGCGUAUGAUGUUAAUACAUAUUUUGGAAAAAUUGAAAGAAUGCGACAUGGUACUCAUGCUAGGAGAAUUAAAGAAACAUCAAAGUAUAUUCAUGCAGAGAAGAAAUUAGUAAUAAAGGUUUAACUUCAUGGUUCGCAAAAUAUUAAAAGAAUAAACUUAAACUUUAGGGAAAUCGUUUCAUUAACAGAAUCAUAUAAUGAUAAAUCUAAACCUAUAUAAAUAAAACCCCAUCACCUAUUUCCCUAGGUUCGCAUUAUUUGUUCAGAGAUAGCCUCGCUAUUGCCAUUGGCGACUUACUUACCUGCAAAGUAAGAGAAGAGUGGGUGAGUUCAUUGCGAACUCGGUGAAUAAUCCGGAAUCAUCAACGUAUGAUUAAAAUACAGAGUUUAAAAUAGAAAGAAGACUUAGUAUGAAAAACUAUUGUAUCGCGUGUUGGGUUCGCAGUGAAUGCUAGGUUCGCAGUGAAUGUGCGAGACCCAGUUUAUAGAACCUGCUUGUCAUAAAAUCAUAUAAGUUUGAAAAUAGUUUUGCAUGUACUUACUGAAAAUCAUACUUAAAAACUUAGCUUGUUCUUGUUUGAAAAUGGAUCUUUUAUAGAAUGAAACAUGCUCACAUACUUAUCUUAUCGGAAUGGCUGAGGAAUAUAAAAUAUGUUCUUGCACUUUUCUUAACUUACUUAUAUUAUCUUGUCUUAUUUUGUUGGAUAUGUGGAUCUCUUUAUAACGCCUCAGAAUGACUCAAAGAGUCCUUAAGAUGUCCCAUAAGUGUAACAUAAGCUAAACACUCUCUUGUACACCAACAUGUCCUAUUGAAUGGAGCAUAGCUUGGCGUUCCCUUAUCUCUCCACAUGUCCCAAAGCCUCAAUGCCCAAAUCACAAAACUUAUUGGUGAGUACUCACAAUCCUUUGGUAUACAAAUAUAUCCAAUAUAUAAGCUCACAAAGGCACUCGUAUAGAAACUUAGCACAUAGAGCUAGAAAAAACAUAGCUUAUAGAACUGUAUUUUUAAAACAUGCUUUAAAACAUAGGCUUGCAUAGGAGCAUGCGUAACACAUAUCUUUAAAACAUAGCUUAAAACAUAUCUUGAAAACAAAUUAUCAGAACUUUUAAAAACAUAGUUUUAUAGGAAAAAAAACUUACUCUUGGAACUUAGUUUUUAAAAAAAAAAGAUUCUUAGAAAACAUAACAGUUCACACACAAGUUACGAAACCUGAGCAUUCAUACUAAAAAACAUGAUAGUUACCACACUUAUGGCAAUUCUUAACCACUCAUCGAUAAAACUGAAAAUUUAAAUGAGUUUUGCCUUGCCUUUAUCCUUGCUGUAGAUAGUCUGGUUGGUUCGUAACAUGCAUAAACACACAAAUUACUUCAAUAGACAAAACUUACGAACUUCACACAUGCAAGCGAACCUAGCUUUCUGGACAAUAAACCCUAAUAGGAAAAAUGCUUACCUUGGUUGCUACGAAUUUGGUUCAGAACAAAGACUUGACAACAAAAUAACGAUGAAAGAAUUUUUCCUAGAAUAAGGAUUGUAUUUAUAGGCACUAAGUAUCUUAGUGACCUUAGGAUACCCUAUUUGACUUAGGAACCCUCUACGGUUUAAAAGAAGGUUACGUGCACGAAAAGUAUCCUAGAUACACAAUAUAUUUAUUUCCUAAGUUUAGUCUAACUUGACUUUUGAUUGGCGAACCCCUAGUUUGUAACUCAAUUGUUGAACCCCAGCUCACUAAACAGAUUGGAGAACACAACUUUCAAUGAAUCUAGCGAACCUCUUACCACAUCAUUUGGCGUGCAGCAGUUUGCUAGAACACUGGCAAACUCCUUACUGGUAUCCCCUUUGGUGAACCCUAGUUUGCUGAAACACUAGUGAACCCUCACUUGUAAGGUCAAAACUUCUAGAUCAGGUUUCAGGAUGUUACAAACACCAUAUUUUUAUCAUAAUUGUUGUUGAUUAUUUUUCUUUCCUGAAUCAAAUCAUCUUUCAUUAAAUUAUUUUUCUAUUAGUUUUGUAAUUGUCGUCAAUAGCACCUCUAUAUUUGCCAAGAAACAAACCGAAUUUAGGUGAAUCAGACCGAAAUAAAGUGUGAAGAACAUCAACCGGAACUGUGGUGAAAGGUGUGUGUCUUUUCCAAGUGAAUCAGUGGUGAUCUGUGUACGAUUAAGGCCACAUGGGCUAUGCGUGUGGUCCACCAACUACCACACAACCAUGUGCACUUGUAGAUUUUAGGGACUUCAUGAACCAUACGGCCUCAGCCAGUUACACGAUCGUGUCUUUCCUGCAAGGUUUAUCAUUUUCCACAUGGAAUCAUGCUGUUACAUGACCGUCUAACCCUUACACAGGGUCUUACCCUUCUCACAUGGCCUGGCCAUACAGCCGUGUGACCCUGUUUUACAGUUUUGACCAAAAAUUUAUCAUAUGUUCAAUUUAGUCCUCGUUUAUCCCUUGAAUUAUUUUAGAGUUUUCAUUCACUCAAUUAAGUCCUUGAUAUUGUGUUUAUUCUAGAAUCUGUGAUUUAAUGACUAAAUUCCUAUUUUUAUAUUGUAUGAGAUGUGAAUAUUACAUGCCUACUGUCAUUGUAAUACUGAUAAACUAUUAAUGAUAAUAUUGUUACCACCCUAUUGAGUACAUGUUAAGCAUGUCUACUGCUAAUGUUGAACUGAAUACAUGAUAAGCAUGUCUAUUAUUAUUAUUUUUUGUAUUGUUCUAUUACAAAGCAUGCCAUAUUGCAUUGCAUGGGGUGGGACGAUAUGUAUGGAGAAAGGGUGACAGUUUAAUAAUCUGCAACCCAGUGGUGGCUCGUCCACAAACCCAAUGGCAGUUUAUCUGCAAAUGUUUUAACUAAAAAUACUGGUUGUUUAUCCGCAAUUUUUACAACGAAGUGGUAGUUUAUAUACAAAUCAGUGGUGAUUUAUCCACAACUCGGUGUGUAUGGAUGGAUGAGUUCUGGGGAACUCAUAGUGUGGUGUGUAGUGAAGUUGGGUAGGACCUUUUCUGAUAAACUGAAAUUGCAUUGCCAUUCAUAAACAUGUGCAUACAAACCAUGAAUUCUAAAUAUUAUAGUGAAGUGUUGAAUUGGAAAACCGAUAUUGUGAAUUGCUAUACGAUUGUGGUUAUUCUAAGAAUUGUUAUUUCGUAUGCUUUGACCACUAUGUUACACCGAUUUUCUUGUGAUAUGACUCACAUUGAGCUUAAGUUCACCCCCUUUUAAUUUCCAUCUUUAUAGAUAACCCACCAGGUUAGGACAUAGACACAACAUCUGGAAGGUCUUGGCUCAGAUAAAUUUUUUUAUUAAAAGUAUUUUAGACUUAUUAUUAUUUCUAUUAUUUGGAAUUGUAUUGUUUUAUUCAAACUUUGGCACGAGACUUAAGUUUUGAGUUUAUUUGACAUGCAUGAAAUUUAAUUUGAAUAUUAGGAUAUUGAAACAUGGAUUUUAAACUAAUUAUGCAUGAAAUUUUGGUUUCGCCAUCAUUAAAAAUAUUUUGAAUAUCAUUUUUCCGCUACGAUAUUAUGAAAAUAAGAAUUUGAAAAAAGUAAAUGAAUUGGAAAUCAACUUUUACUAAGUAAACUUUAAAAUCCAUUGUUUUUUGGAAACUUUUAUUUUUUAGUGAAAACAUGAUUACACGCAAAGUUUUUCUUCAAUAAUAAGCAAAUGUUUUAAACAACUGUUUUAUAAAAACUCCGAUAGUUGUAGUAGGCCAUUUCGGUAGCCAAUGCAAUCUUUUGAAUUCAGUCUUAACGUUUAGGCCGAGUUGAGGAAGUUACUAUUAGCAACUUAACAUUAAUUUGAACAUUAAAUGUUGGUCCAAACUUGACACGAAAUAUAUUUAGAAUACAUAAAUCAAAAAAUUAGUAAGUUGGCUACUUGGGUUAAUUUAUUGGUUUGACACAACAUAUCCUAUAGUAAUUCAAUGGGAUUAGAACAUCCCAACUCCUAGUUGAUUUAAUUGCUAGGUUAUCUAAGUCCACGCUUGCAAUUAUUGCUUAAAGCAUUUGUUUAAUAAAAUCUUAAAUUCCAAUGGAGGUGCUUUUUCAUAAUAUGAGGUAACCUAAGAAAAAGGAAAAAGUUGAACAUAUUGUUAAGUUAAAAUUGAACAAAUUAAGGCAAAGUGUACAAAUGGAGUGUCAUCAUUCAAAUCGGUCCUUCUCUUAAUUGUCAUAAGCCAAUUAGGUAAGCCAGAUUCUUUUAAUAAAAAGUAAAGAUUUCAUGGCAUCCCUAAAGCAUUGCAAAUUUUUUGUAAGCAUUAAAAUGGCAUUAGUUGGUACAAUACUGGUAUUGAUCUGUAUAUAUUGCUUCGGUUUUGAUCAGUACCAAAUAGUUUAUAUUUCGUUCAAUCAAAAUUUUGUUAUGUUUGAUUAUUUCGGUGUGUUUCGACCUAUUUUGGUCAAUAUCGGCUUGUACUAGCUAGUAUAAAAUUUGAUAUUUUAAACUAAAUUUUAAAAUUUUUUAAUCUUAAUUAUUUUAAUUUUGGCUAAAGGGUCUUCAAAGCCCUUGAACAUUAAAAUUUCAAUCAAUUAAGCCCAUCACACAUUAAAGUUAACGAUCAACCAUGAAAGAGCAACAAUAGCCAUUAUGAGCAAUUGUUUUCACCACGUGGCAUGUUAGACUGUACCACGUGACGAAAUAUGGUGUUUUAAAUUUAAAACCAUUAAAACUAUAGAAAAUCAUAAAAUAUUAAAAAAUUACAAAAGUUAUAAAAUUAUAUAAAAAUGAACAAAAUUAUAAAAAGUAGUAUAAAUGAUACAAAAAUUAUAUAAAUUAUUAAAAAAUUGCAAAAAGAAAACAUUAAAAAUAAGCUUAAAAUAAGAAUAUAUAAAAAAAUGUAAAAAAAAAAAAUUAGAAACUAAGUUUCGGAUACACAGCUCUGGCUGUAUUUUUCAUAAAUAAAAGCUUGGUUGAGAUUUUAGAUUUGGUAUAAAUACAAUAAAUAUAAUAUUUAUAGUAGUAAACAAGUGAAUGAAAUUAAGUAAUUGUGAUUGAGAUUCACCAUGAUUAUAUUUAUAGGAAUAAAAUAUUCCUAUAUAUAAUGAAAGUGUAAUUGAAUAAUAAAAUUCAUAUUAAUACAAGUUGCUUUAAAACAAAAGUAAAUAAUUUGAUAUUGAUCUUGUGAAACAAUUGAAUUUUGGUUUUGUUAUGGGAUUAAAUUAGCAAUUAAUCCUUUUUAAGAAUUUAGAGAACGAAUUAGAUAAGUUAGACAUAAAAGUAGAAGAGUAAAAAGAAAGGAAGUAGUGGGUAGAUUAACAUAAUUAGGAGUUUAAAUGAUAUGAUAAUAAUUAAAGCUUUAAUUUAGUUAAGGUAAUUAGAAAUGUUUGAUCAUAUUUUAGAUGUUAAUUGAAAUUAAACGAGUUAAUAGGUCGAAUACAAGUUUAUAUUUUAGUUAAGAUAAUUAAGAGUUUAACUAGAAUUAAAAAAAAAUAAGAAGCACAUUGAAUCGUCGAUGAAUUGAUUUGAUUCUAAAUCCAAACUCAAGAGAGUAGGAACAUAAUCCAUUGGAAACAACACUUUUAAGUUGUUUAAAUUUUUGAGAAAGAAAAACACUUUCAACCUUUUUUUUAAUCCCCACUCUAUCCACCAACCUACUCGUUGCUUUAUAAGUCAAAAUCGGGAAAUUAAAUAUUACACUAUUACUAAUUCGGUUAAAUUGGUUAAUUCGGUCAAAUGAAUAUUAUCGAUUUUUUGAUAUGUUUUUUUACUUGUUUUAACCAAAAAAAUAAAACAUAUAAAUUUCGGUUAAUUUGAUUAACCGGCCGAAUUAAUCGAAAUAUUUCGAUUUGGUUAAUGGUUAAAGAUACUAAUUCGAUUCGGUUAACUGAUCGGUUAAUUGUUUGAGCACCCCUAAAAAUAAGUCAUGGGACCAACAUACUGACUUCCAUACAAUUGUUAGGUAUAUAUAGCAACUCAUAAGUAUGAGUAGAAUUAGUACGCAGUACCUUAGAUUCAUUGAGCCACAUUUCAAAGUUUCCCAUGAUCUCUUUUGCUGUCAAUGAUAUAAUAAACUUUUUGUAUUCACAAUUAUGUUCACAAUAUAAAACAUAAUUGGUCGACUUGAAUACAAUUAAAUGAGACACUCUAAUGUUCUUUCCUUUUCCUCAAAUCUCUCUAUUUCAAUUCAACUACUCUCUAGAUAUGUCCCGUUAGAUUGAAUCAUACAUGAUCAUCGAUAGCCUACUAAAAUAGCUAAUAUUGAUGUAAAACUUCAAGAAACAGUUAAAGGUCAUGAGGGUACUUAGUAUAGAUCUUCAGUUGAUCUCAUGGGUUUCACACAACAUAGAAGCAGAGAUCAAAUCUUCUAUUACCCAUUUUGUUCGUAUAAUACACAUGUAGUAUGAAACACAUGCUAUGGUAUUACUCUCACUUUCCUUGAAGUGUAUGUCUUUAUCAAAAAAUCAAUACCACAUAGGUGAUAAUUCAAAUACACUUAGUAUCUAACUCGAGUCCACAACUUUAUUUUCUUAAUAGAUUCAACAACAAGACUUUCACCUGGAAUAAAAGACAUAUAAAGUGAAAAAUUCAUAUUUAAAUUAUCAAACAUAAAUCAAAUUGAUUAUAAUUAUAUCAUUUUGCAUAUAGCUCAUGUCGUGCAAGUGCACACUUUAGCCCCAACAAGUUUGGACCUAUGCCCUUCAUGCAUGCAAGGCAAGAUUCCAAACAUAAUCAUUCAAUCAUCAUUUAUGUGGGUUCUCAUAUAUAUACACAUCUCACACUUGGUAUUUAACCAAUGUGGGAUCUAAGCUUUUCUUUUCCUCAACAAAUAUUCACAAGUAGCUUACUUUGAGCACCAAUUUCUCAUUCAUCACUCAACCAUUUUGAGCAUAUGAUAUACUGUUGUAAAGGUCUCAUGGAGUAGAAUAUAAAAUCAUAAUUUUAUGAUUCAACUCUCAACAUUUACCAAUUAAAAAUAUGCCUCAAAGUUCCCAUAAAUUACAAAUUUUCCAACAACUUUUGAAUGCAUUAAUCAUUAUCAACAUUAACUCAAGUGAGGACAAGAAUAUAUUAUUCAACUUGCAAUCCUAGAGUUUUGACAUUCCUUUAAAAAAUCUCUAGGAAUCGGUUUUGUAAACUGAUUUGCAAUCCUCUUAUGCAUAGACUUUCUCUCUUGUUGUGAGAUUUACCUUCACACUUAUUUUUUCCAAUAUACUAACUUUAGAUAUUUGGAGUUUGGAGUUGGUCAAACAGAUGUAAAAGCUACCUUUUCCAAAUGAAAAUCUGGAAUUUACACAGACAAAGUAGAUUUCAUUGACAAAGGUGAAAUGCAUAGUCUGGGCAAGUUAUGAAGAUCAAUUUUAUGAUCUUAAGCGAUUUUCCAGAUAGUGAUAUGCUAUUUUUUUUAAUUAAGAAACUGUUUAGUUUGAUUUAAUCAUAAUUGAUAAAGACCACUUUACUCAUGUUAAAAGAAGGAAAGAAAAUUUUGUAACUAUGUCAUUUUAUGUGGGUGACAUGUUGUUGGCCGCAAAUGAAUUAGUGCUUAUCAUUAUGGGUUAUGCAAGACUACAUGUCAAUUCAUACGAAUGUGUCCUUUUUUCAAUGUUGUGAGUAGCAUCAUAUAUGUUAUGAUGUACAUAAAGCAAAGUAUCUCUUGUAUAGUUGGAUUCAAGACACUCCAAUCCAAACUCAUUGCAAAACAAUGAAAAUGAUAUUGAGGUAUUGAAAAGACACUAUGGAUUUUCACCAUGCUAUCUAAUUGUGAAUACAAAUACCUAUUAAUUAAAAGGAGAUUUAGAUGAAAUAUUGAAAUCUAUCUCCACACAUGUGUUCGUAUUUGAUAAUGGAGUGAACUCUUAAAGUAGUAAGAAAUAAACUUGUAUAGCAUGGUCUAUUAUUGAUGCUGAAAUUGGCAUUUUUAGCGAUGGUUCAAGAGAGUGUUUGGGUUAAAAUAAUCACGAUUAAUAUAGUUACGUUAAAGCAAAAUAUCUUCUAUAGUUGGAUUCAACAUAGUCCAAUCCAAACUUAUUGCAAAACAAUGAAAAUGAUUUUGAGGUCUUUUAUUGUUCUCUCUUGUAUAGUUUGCAUCUCAAGGCACUUUCUUGUUGAUUACGAUGAACAAAAAACGGUUGCAAGCUCUGGGACGAGCAAGAUCAAUAUCUUUAGAGAUCAAAUGAUGGUUAGUAUACAAAUUUAAAAACUAGUUUUUAUAAUUUCAUUUUCAUAUAGUUUUUAUUUAUUUUUUAUUAUAAAUUUUAUGCUUUUUAUAAUAUUUUAUAUGUUUUAGUAUUUUUACAAUAUUUUAAUAACUUUCUAUCUUUUUAAAUAUUUAUUACCAUUUUUAUUUUUAAUUCAAAUAAUUUAUUUUUUUCCAAUUUUCUAUAUUUUAUAAUAUUUUUAAUAAUAUUUUAUAUAUUUAAAUAUUUUUUCAUAAUUUUAAUUUUUUUAAAUUUUUCAUAAUUUAUAUGUUUUUUUAAUUUUUAUUUUAGUACUUUUUAAUGCUUUUCACAAUUUUUAAUAAUUUUUAUAAUUUAUAUUUUUUUUUCGUUUAUAAUCAUUUUUAUAAUUUAUAUAUAUAUCUGCAAUUUUAUAUAUUUUAUAAUUUUUGCAAUUUUUAUAUUUUAUAAAAUAAUUUUGUAAUACUCCAAACUCGGCCUUAACGUUAUGACCAAAUCUAGAGAUGCUAUGAAGAUACAUUAAAAAAAAUCUAGAAUCUGUUGAUUUUAUAAAAUGAUACUUGCCCUUAUUUAGUAAAAUCUGAGUUUAUUUGAGAAAUUUAUCGUUUUGAUGGGUUUGUCAAUUAUUUACUCAUAAAACUAGUCGAAUCCAAUUUGAAAACACGAUUUUUUUUGUUGUUGUAAAAUCCAUUAUUCAACAAUUCAAUUUUCAACCCACCAACGAGGAAAUCACACAGGACUUCCUGCUAACCUACCAUCUUUUUUCAAGAGUUCAAACCCAAUCCAACACCACCAACUCGACAGCACAUUAAGGGCUAACAAAAAUAAAUUAGAGACUCAAACGAUAAAUUAACAUCUUAUCGUUGAACUAGUAAACUCAUUCUAUCACAAAUUGAUCAAAAAUAGUAUUUAAGUGGUAAGGAACAAGAUAAGGAUAAAAGACAAAAAUAAUAAAAUUUCUUAAAAAUGAGAUUUGAACCCUAAUCAGUAAAACAAAUACUUAUUCAUGACAUAAAUUAACAAAUUAAAAAUUCAUAUUUUUGGGUCUUAAAAGUUUUUAAUAAAUUAUAAUUACUUGAUUCCAGUUUCUUUAUUAUGCCCAAAUUUAAGAUUAAGCCCUAUAUUUUAAUUUUGACAUAAUUUGAUUUAUUUAUUUUUAUAAUGUCAUUAGUUAUCUUAAAUCGCUAACAUUAUUAGCUAUGCCAAGUAAAAUAACAUCGCGUAUUUUUUUUCUUAAAAUCAUCACUUCUAACUAAAUAAUGGCUUAAUCACUUUUUUAACUAAUUAUACUAACAUAGAUUUUUUUUAGUUGGAACGAGUAUGUUUAAGGAAAAAUCACCUCAACACUUUACUUGAAAUUAGUAAUCACAUUAAUUAUUUGGACUAACUAAAUCAUUACUGAAUCACCUUCUAACUAAUUAUAGUAAUGUAUAUAUUUAAGAAAAAGCUCACUUUAAUGUUUUAACUGAAAUUAUUAACCGUGUUAAUUACUUAAACUAACUAAUGAAAAAUAUUUCAAAUUAAUUUAUACUGAAUAACUCUCAAAUCCAAGUAUAAUAAAAUAAUAUGACUAACUCAAACUUGGCGUUGAAUUGAGUUUGGGAGUAAAAUAAUCACAUCACUCAUUGGCAAAGCAUGACUGUGAUUAUGAUAUGGUUUUUCGAAGUAUAACUAUGGUGGAGUUGAUAGCAUUGAUUAGAAUACCUUUAUAAAUGAAUAUAUAACAUUUAAUCAUGUAUAUAUUUUUAAUAAUUUAAUAACUUAAAAAAACACCACACUUUAUUAUAUAUGUAAAAUGUAAAUAGAAGCUACAUUCUUAUUUCAUGAAAUAACAUCAUAGAGAAUGUGAUGGCAGAGUUCAUUCUCAGUAAUAUAUGUGAUACUAAUUAGGAAUCAAACUGUCUUCAAUGGCUGGAUGGAGGUGGAGGUGGAGGUGGAGACAUGAAAGGAAUGGAAGGCAAGCUGCUACUGGGAAGUGGUGGAAGAACAGUGAUAGGCUUAGGCUAAGAUGGUGGGAUUGUUGGUAGCUUCGGGAUUCAAGGCAAUGGAGGUAUGCAGGGUUGAGCUGAGAAUGAUGGUAGAUCUAGGAUUGAAGGCAAUGGAAGUAUGUUGGGCAACUUACGAAGUGGUGGUAGUUCUAAGUUCUGGGAUUGAAGGAAAUGGUGGUGGUUCUGGGAUUAAAGGAAGUGGUGACAUCGGAGGUGGCAAUGGUACCGGUAAAUAUGCAGAUGGCAAUGGUACUGGUAAAAAUGGAGGUGGCAAUGGUAUUGGCGACAAUGGAGGUAGCAAUGGUACUGGUGACAAUGGUAUUGGCGACAAUGGAGGUGGCAAUGGUAUUGGUGGAAAUGGAGGUGGCACUUGCUGAAGAUUUCGGGUUGCUAGGCUAACCUCCAUGCUUGAAAAACCCAAGGAAAUGAAGCAGGCUAAUAAAAUGAAAACGUUGGAAGCUGCCAUUUUUUUUUGGAGAGAUGAACUAAAGAUUGAAGAUUUGAGUUGAGGAAAGCAGGAUUGGUUUCGGGUAUUUAUAGCCACAUUUGAAGGAGUUUUUUAAUUAUUUGUUUGAGAUAUUACUCCCCUACUUAGCUUACUACCUUC